GACGUAGGGGGCGAGCGUUGUCCGGAUUUAUUGGGCGUAAAGCGCGCGUAGGCGGCCCGUUAAGUCGGAUGUGAAAACCCGGGGCUCAACCCCGGGCCUGCAUUCGAUACUGGCGGGCUCGAGGCAGGCAGGGGAGAGUGGAAUUCCUGGUGUAGCGGUGAAAUGCGCAGAUAUCAGGAGGAACACCGGUGGCGAAGGCGGAUCUCUGGGCCUUGCCUGACGCUGAGGCGCGAAAGCGUGGGGAGCGAACAGG
rnacentral:rRNA from 1 species